GAUGAACGCUGGCGGCGUGCCUAAUACAUGCAAGUCGAGCGAACAGACGAGGAGCUUGCUCCUCUGACGUUAGCGGCGGACGGGUGAGUAACACGUGGAUAACCUACCUAUAAGACUGGGAUAACUUCGGGAAACCGGAGCUAAUACCGGAUAAUAUAUUGAACCGCAUGGUUCAAUAGUGAAAGACGGUUUUGCUGUCACUUAUAGAUGGAUCCGCGCCGCAUUAGCUAGUUGGUAAGGUAACGGCUUACCAAGGCAACGAUGCGUAGCCGACCUGAGAGGGGGAUCGGCCACACUGGACCUGAGACCCGGUCCAGACUCCUACGGGAGGCAGCAGUAGGGAAUCUUCCGCAAUGGGCGAAAGCCUGACGGAGCAACGCCGCGUGAGUGAUGAAGGUCUUCGGAUCGUAAAACUCUGUUAUUAGGGAAGAACAAAUGUGUAAGUAACUAUGCACGUCUUGACGGUACCUAAUCAGAAAGCCACGGCUAACUACGU
rnacentral:rRNA from 1 species